rnacentral:rRNA from 1 species
GGUGGUUCCGCAUGGAAGGGCCAUCGCUCAACGGAUAAAAGCUACCCCGGGGAUAACAGGCUUAUCUCCCCCAAGAGUUCACAUCGACGGGGAGGUUUGGCACCUCGAUGUCGGCUCAUCGCAUCCUGGGGCUGUAGUCGGUCCCAAGGGUUGGGCUGUUCGCCCAUUAAAGCGGUACGCGAGCUGGGUUCAGAACGUCGUGAGACAGUUCGGUCCCUAUCCGUCGUGGGCGUAGGAAAUUUGAGAGGAGCUGUCCUUAGUACGAGAGGACCGGGAUGGACAUACCUCUGGUGUACCAGUUGUCGUGCCAACGGCAUAGCUGGGUAGCUAUGUGUGGACGGGAUAAGUGCUGAAAGCAUCUAAGCAUGAAGCCCCCCUCAAGAUGAGAUUUCCCAACUUCGGUUAUAAGAUCCCUCAAAGAUGAUGAGGUUAAUAGGUUCGAGGUGGAAGCAUGGUGACAUGUGGAGCUGACGAAUACUAA